rnacentral:tRNA from 1 species
UUAUUUUAGUUCAAACUUAAAAUAGAAAUUUUGUAAAUUUCUGUUAUAGUAAUUAUAAAUAAC